GAUGAACGCUGGCGGCGUGCCUAAUACAUGCGAGUCGAGCGAACAGACGAGGAGCUUGCUCCUUUGACGUUAGCGGCGGACGGGUGAGUAACACGUGGGUAACCUACCUAUAAGACUGGGAUAACUUCGGGAAACCGGAGCUAAUACCGGAUAAUAUUUCGAACCGCAUGGUUCGAUAGUGAAAGAUGGCUCUGCUAUCACUUAUAGAUGGACCUGCGCCGUAUUAGCUAGUUGGUAAGGUAACGGCUUACCAAGGCAACGAUACGUAGCCGACCUGAGAGGGUGAUCGGCCACACUGGAACUGAGACACGGUCCAGACUCCUACGGGAGGCAGCAGUAGGGAAUCUUCCGCAAUGGGCGAAAGCCUGACGGAGCAACGCCGCGUGAGUGGUGAAGGUCUUCGGAUCGUAAAACUCUGUUAUUAGGGAAGAACAAACGUGUAAGUAACUGUGCACGUCUUGACGGUACCUAAUCAGAAAGCCACGGCUAACUACGUG
rnacentral:rRNA from 1 species